GCGAGCGUUGUCCGGAUUUAUUGGGCGUAAAGAGCUUGUAGGCGGUUGGUUGCGUCAGAAGUGAAAACUCGGGGCUUAACUCCGAGCUUGCUUUUGAUACGGGGCUGACUUGAGGGAAGUAGGGGAGAAUGGGAAUUCCUGGUGAAGCGGUGGAAUGCGUAGAUAUCAGGAGGAACACCGGUGGCGAAGGCGGUUCUCUGGACUUUUCCUGACGCUGAGAAGCGAAAGCGUGGGGAGCAAACAGGCUUAGAUACCCUGGUAGUCCACGCUGUAAACGGUGGGUACUAGGUGUGGGGGACAUUCCACGUUCUCCGUGCCGUAGCUAACGCAUUAAGUACCCCGCCUGGGGAGUACGGCCGCAAGGCUAAAACUCAAAGGAAUUGACGGGGCCCCGCACAAGCGGCGGAGCAUGCGGAUUAAUUCGAUGCAACGCGAAGAACCUUACCUGGGUUUGACAUAUGCCGGAAGCAUUCAGACGAUGGGUGUGCCUUUUGGUCGGUUUACAGGUG
rnacentral:rRNA from 1 species